rnacentral:rRNA from 1 species
UAGGGAAUCUUCCACAAUGGGCGCAAGCCUGAUGGAGCAACACCGCGUGAGUGAAGAAGGGUUUCGGCUCGUAAAGCUCUGUUGUUAAAGAAGAACACGUAUGAGAGUAACUGUUCAUACAUUGACGGUAUCAACCAGAAAGUCACGGCUAAUUACGUGACAG